rnacentral:rRNA from 1 species
AUGCACGCUGGCGGCGUGCCUCAUCCCUGCAAGUCGAGCGAACAGACGAGGAGCUUGCUCCUCUGACGUUAGCGGCGGACGGGUGAGUAACACGUGGAUAACCUACCUAUAAGACUGGGAUAACUUCGGGAAACCGGAGCUAAUACCGGAUAAUAUAUUGAACCGCAUGGUUCAAUAGUGAAAGACGGUUUUGCUGUCACUUAUAGAUGGAUCCGCGCCGCAUUAGCUAGUUGGUAAGGUAACGGCUUACCAAGGCAACGAUGCGUAGCCGACCUGAGAGGGUGAUCGGCCACACUGGAACUGAGACACGGUCCAGACUCCUACGGGAGGCAGCAGUAGGGAAUCUUCCGCAAUGGGCGAAAGCCUGACGGAGCAACGCCGCGUGAGUGAUGAAGGCCUUCGGAUCGUAAAACUCUGUUAUUAGGGAAGAACAAAUGUGUAAGUAACUAUGCACGUCUUGACGGUACCUAAUCAGAAAGCCACGGCUAACUACGUG